rnacentral:rRNA from 1 species
AUUGAACGCUGGCGGCAUGCCUUACACAUGCAAGUCGAACGGUAACAGGUUAAGCUGACGAGUGGCGAACGGGUGAGUAAUACAUCGGAACGUGCCCAGACGUGGGGGAUAGCUCGGCGAAAGCCGGCUUAAUACCGCAUGUGAUCUGAGGAUGAAAGCGGGGGACCGUAAGGCCUCGCGCGUUUGGAGCGGCCGAUGGCAGCUUAGGUAGUUGGUGGGGUAAAGGCUUACCAAGCCUACGAUCUGUAGCUGGUCUGAGAGGACGACCAGCCACACUGGGACUGAGACACGGCACAGACUCCUACGGGAGGCAGAAGUGGGGAAUUUUGGACAAUGGUCGAAAGGCUGAUCCAGCAAUGCCGAGUGCAGGAUGAAGGCCUUCGGGUUGUAAACUGCUGUUGUACGGAACGAAAAGGCGCCUACUAAUACUGGGUGUUGAUGACGGUACCGUAAGAAUAAGCACCGGCUAACUACGUGCCAGCAGCCGCCGUAAGAC